GUGCGACACAAUGACAGGGACGGGUAAGGCAAUCACAAGCACGCCAGACAGUGAGCAGAUGCCGCCAAAUAUUUUUCCAAUAAUUGUGAUUGGAACGAUGUCACCGUAGCUGAA
rnacentral:sRNA from 1 species